CCUACGGGUGGCAGCAGUGGGGAAUCUUGCGCAAUGGGCGAAAGCCUGACGCAGCGACGCCGCGUGGGGGAGGAAGCUCUUCGGAGUGUAAACCCCUGUCAGGAGGGAAGCGGUACCUCCAAAGGAAGCACCGGCUAACUCUGUGCCAGCAGCCGCGGUAAUACAGAGGGUGCGAGCGUUGUUCGGAAUUACUGGGCGUAAAGCGCGCGCAGGCGGUCCUUUAAGUCUCCCGUGAAAUGCCGGAGCUCAACUCCUGCACGCCGGGGGAUACUGGAGGACUGGAGACGAGUAGAGGCAAGCGGAAUUCCGGGUGUAGCGGUGGAAUGCGUAGAGAUCCGGAAGAACACCGGAGGCGAAGGCGGUUGCUGGCUGGCUGACGCUGAGGCGCGAAAGCGUGGGGAGCGAACAGGAUUAGAUACCCUAGUAGUC
rnacentral:rRNA from 1 species